AGAGAGUUCAUGUGAGUGGGGGAAGGCCCAAUGCAGGGCUUGAUAUCACAACCCGGAGAUCAUUACCUGAGCUGAAAUCAAGAAUUGGAUGCCCAACUGACUGAGCCACCCACCCAGGUACCUGACCAGCCAGCUAGGCCAUUCUUCUUCAUGGAAAAAGAUGCAAAAUAUACCAAUUUGUCUAUUACUUUGGCCCUGCUCCUAACCACUGGACUCCUACUAAAAAUAUACUGGCAUUGCAGACUCCGAAAUCUUCUUAAGGUUAAUCUCCCACUCUCUGGAGUGUAUGUUUCUUAGCAAGGCCUCUAGCAUCCCAGCCACCUCUUGUUCAUUUGGCCCAGUCAAUAUAAUGUAAUUGAUGUAAUGGAUCAGUGUGAUAUUCUUUGGGAUGUCCAAAUGGCACAGUCUCUUUGGACACAUUAUGACAGACAACAUGAGUUAGCAUAGCCUUGGAACAAAACUGUAAAUGUAUGGUCUUGUCUGGUUCAUGUGAAUUCGAACUCUUUUUGAUCUUGUUUUCUGACUGGCAUAGAAGAGAACAUAUGCACCAUAUCAGUGGCUUUUACUGUGUUAUCUCAGGAUGUAUUACCUCUAGCAAAGAUAGCACAUCUGGCAUAGUGGCUGUGACUGGGGCUGUUUGUGGGUUGAGUUUUGACAGUUUACAGUCAUCAUCUAGAAGCCAAUCUUUUUUUGCAGGGGCUAGACUGGUGAAUUAGAUGGGAUAGGAUGGAGCCAAUAUUCUUUUACAUUCUUAAAGUUGUUAUUCCUUUGGAGUAUGAUAUUGGUUUUGGUUUGGGUGAGGAGAAAUUUCAGGGCCUUCCGUUUGGUUUUCCUCUCUAUGCUAGUUCUUACACCAAGGACCAAUAUGGGGGUUUGGCCAAUUGCUAAAUAUAUUAAUUCUAAUUAUACAUUUGGAGACCAGGGAAAUGACCACUAGAUGACUCUGUGGACCUAGUGAAUCCACUGUAGGUAGGGCCUUGCCCAGGACUACAUUUAUCCCCAUAUGCCUCUACACUAAUAGGGAAGACAUGAUGAUGUUUUCAGGCUGUUACAUAUUGUCAGUUCAAUCUCUGUGCUUAAUGGUCCUCAAAAUGUCUUAUAUGCCCCUUUUCUCAAUGUGUAGUUUCCCAAGUAAAUGCCAGAGGUCCCUUUGGGGGACUAGGGAAAUCAUUACCAUGAAUAACUUGCCAUGUGUUACAGGGAUCUUCAUUCUGUAGAUCUGGCCACCUCUUUAGUCACUGAAAAAUUGGCUCAGAUCCCAAAACAGAGUUAGGGCUUGUUAAUUUUUUUUGUCCACAAUCACUCUCAGCCUCCAGUUAUCUAUCCUUAAUUUAUUCUCUUGGUAUAAGCUGAGUUGUACCCCUUUUGGUUCUUCAUCUAAUUUUCCCCUAGGGACUCCAUGUUCUGUUAACCAUCUCUGUAACUCUAAAACUCUCUGCACAUCAAGACUCCUUUGGCUGUCAUUCCUGCCUUCUUCGUCAUUAUGAUUGUUAUGACUCCUUGGCUUUUGGCAGUAAACUGCUCACCUGGCUUCUCUUUUGGGGAUCCUAUUAUCCCCAUUACUAUUUGUGAACCAAGUUCUCCUGCUGU